AUUGAACGCUGGCGGCAGGCUUAACACAUGCAAGAGAGUUGGUUCAGAGAUAGCUUGCUAUCUGCUGACGAGCGGCGGACGGGUGAGUAAUGCUUGGGAAUAUGCCUUAUGGUGGGGGACAACAGUUGGAAACGACUGCUAAUACCGCAUAACGUGUACGGACCAAAGGGGGGGAUCUUCGGACCUCUCGCCAUUUGAUUAGCCCAAGUGAGAUUAGCUAGUUGGUAAGGUAAUGGCUUACCAAGGCGACGAUCUCUAGCUGGUUUGAGAGGAUGAUCAGCCACACUGGGACUGAGACACGGCCCAGACUCCUACGGGAGGCAGCAGUGGGGAAUAUUGCACAAUGGGCGAAAGCCUGAUGCAGCCAUGCCGCGUGUGUGAAGAAGGCCUUCGGGUUGUAAAGCACUUUCAGUUGUGAGGAAAGGUUUGUAGUUAAUAGGUGCAAGCUGUGACGUUAACAACAGAAGAAGCACCGGCUAACUUCGUGCCAGCAGCCGCGGUAAUACGAGGGGUGCAAGCGUUAAUCGGAAUUACUGGGCGUAAAGCGUUCGUAGGCGGUCUAUUAAGCAAGAUGUGAAAGCCCAGGGCUCAACCUUGGAACUGCAUUUUGAACUGGUAGACUAGAGUACUGUAGAGGGGGGUGGAAUUUCCAGUGUAGCGGUGAAAUGCGUAGAGAUUGGAAGGAACAUCAGUGGCGAAGGCGGCCUACUCUGGACAGAUACUGACGCUGA
rnacentral:rRNA from 1 species